ensembl:lncRNA
GUGAAGUGAAAUUUAUUCCCUUGGCGUAAACAUGUGACAGACCCGAGCCGUACUGCCGAUGCCACACCUGAAAUCACCAUAUAUACUCCGGGAUGACUCAGCAGAUGUCGGCCAUGGCGGCAGGCGGAGGGGCCGGAGCUGGGGGCGCGGCGAUGGGGGCCCCAGGGGCCUUCGGCCAGCCGGCCCCCAUGACGGGCUGGUCGGCCCCCCCGCCCUCUGGCCAGACCCUCAGCACCCAGCUGUGGAAGUGAAGCGUGGCCCCGGGAGUGUUGGCGGGCUGAGGGGGUGAGGCAGCCCACCCAUCUAACACUGCCCUUAUCUCUCUCUCUCCACACGCACACAGACACAUGCACAGAAACAUAAUCAUAGACAUACACAGACGCAAACGUAUUCAUACGCACACACACAGAUAUCGGUACACAUACAAAGACACACUCAUAUUGAUACACAGACACACACACAGAUAUUCAUACAAACACGCAGAGAGAUAUUUAUACACACACACACGCAUUCAUAUACACAGUAAGCAUAAUGAAAAGAACGCACAAGAGGCGCUGUCUAGCGGUCUCACCCCUUCUUCUUCUUCUCCUCCUCAUCCUCCAUUCCGAGCCCUCCCUCCAGCAGUCACGGGCUCUCCCUGUUAGAGACCAAACAGCAGCUCUCCUCUCCUGCUGUACUCAAUACGAACUUUGACCUUUCCUGGCCGUGUUUCUUUUUCAAAGUUGUGGACGACAAAAGACCCCCGCGCCCACAACAUCCUACCCAAUAUAAAAGAAAAAGAGCCACAAACUGGAAGCUAGAAGAUGCUGGAGCAGCCAGACCUCGUGGUUAGUGGUGUCCUCUGGUAGGGCUUCUCUGAUUGACCCCCUCUGCCUAUGAGAUCACACCACACUCACAAUGUCUAUUACUAAUCCAUUAUAGCCUAUCAUGAAUAUAGUCUUUCUCUGAAGAAAUAGUGAAUAGUAGCGCGAUAGUUUUUAAAUGCCUAGGCUUAUGGUUGCCCCUCUGUUGUCAGUCGACUCCCAUUGCUGUCCCCGACUCAUUCUCUCCCUAGCCCCGCCCCCUCCGCUCCCCCGCAAUCCGUGCGGCUGAUCAAUAAUUAGUAGCCAAUAAUCGUCUCUAAAGUACUGUAUCAACGUGAACCCAGUGUGAACGUCUGUGGAGACCCGUAAAAGAGAGAUUCCUCCGCUUUACACGCUUGACUUGUUCAUGUGUUGCCCUUUUCUCCCCCCCCCCACACAAGUUUAAUUACCGAGGGUGUUCGUCCUGAAUGGCUCUGAUUCCUGUCGACUCGGCCUUCCGAUAGGCAUUAAAAACAACUAAACAAAGGAAGGCACAAAACAACAUUCAGACGUAGGAGACAAGAUUGUCUAGUCCUUAACCAACUCAGGGCAGCUACACCGUGGACUCUCGCGCCCCCACCCCUCCCUAGUAAUCGUGGACCGCCUGUAGCGGUAUUACUGAGGGAGAAAUGUCUUUCUAAACGACUGGGAGCUAGAUGAGAUGAAUGUGGGUCUCGACCUAUUUAAAGCCCUCCCCAGGUGCGGGGCGGACCUCAAUUCGGCGUGCGACCCGAGGCAGUGGCACAGCGCGAGCAUCCUACAGCCCUCCAUCACACCCCUCUAGGGAGCCCGCCAGUACGCCAGUCGUCAGUCUAGUUUGUGUCCACGUCCGCCCCGGCUCCUCGUUGGUUAGAUGUUGGAAAUGAUCAUGUUCGGCUUUACCUGCAUCCUAGCGUCUUUGUUUUAUUUUUUUCAUCAUUUGGGAUUGUUAUCCUUCUUGUGUUUUAACGUUUUUCCUCCAUGCCUUUUAUUUAUUUGAGUAUGGGAGCGUUCAUGUCCGCGCUGUAGUGUCGGAGGACAGUCUGAUCCAGGGUAUAUACAUUAGGCUGGACUCGCUUUGCUGUUUUUCUUCUUUUUUUUUUUUUUACUCUGCCCGGUCGGUUUGUGUUUUUUUUUUUUGCGAUGUGUAUCCGUGCUGAUUUUAUUCUGUGCAAUGCAAGAGAACAACAAAAAUAACAAGAAAAUAAACCUGGACGACCCAUAGGGGCCCAGCUGUGGCGUCUGGAGCCAUGCAUCACUGAGAGCCCAUCUGGAGAGCGUGUGGUUUGGACAGUGAUGCUGGCGCCCGUUGAAGGCUUUUAAUUUGUAAUCUCGUUUUUUCCUGUUUUGGGGACCUGCAUGAAAAUCACUGGAUGGGUCCCCGGCGAAGGCCCCGGGUCUACUGAUGACAUCAUCACUGUCCAAUCCGCUCGCCUCCUGCGAGGAAGGGCCACACACACACACACGAGAGACUGGAGCAACAGUGGCUGAAAGAUAUCGUAAUGAAGCCAGAGCAAAACAAACAUGAGCACACAGAUACACACUCACGCAACCACACAGAGCCACGCACACACGUGCACACACACGCACACACAGGGCCACAGACACAGAGCCACACACAGCCAGCAUGGGGGACACGCAGAAACUAGAGACAAAUUUAAUUCCAACGUCUUCCAGGUUUAUUUCGGAUGUUUACAAUUUUCUGGUGCCUAGUACUGUAAAAAGAGGUUUUGUGCAUUAAAACGGUGAUCCGCCCUCCAACUCUGCUGUAAUAUAUUGUGACCAGUUUUAACUGUAAGGGUUCCAUUUCAUCAGUCUUUCCUGUCUCUAUUUUUUUGUUUUCUGAGUUUUACAAUAUGUUUAUUUGGAAUAAACGGUUGUUCUCCUGGA